AGAGACAAAGUUACACUUUACCGGUGACGAAACCGACGAGAACGCCGGCGACCGCGUUCUGACCGUUUCUGAGGAUCUUGUUCUCAACAAGGAAAUUCGUUGAGGUGCUCGAGGUAGCAAGUGUGGUCUUAGCAACUGAGGAUCUUGUUCUCAACAAGGAAAUUCGUUGAGGUGCUCGAGGUAGCAAGUGUGGUCUUAGCAACUGAGGUAAGAAGAGUGGACAUCUGUACACAGGGUGUAUGUUAUGCAUACAACUUGGGUUGGUUGUUAUUUAAUUUGAUAGUGUUGUGAUUUCCUUAUAUUUUGUGAGCAUCAUUAGCAUGAGAAUAAUAUUAGGGUCUUGCUGCUUGUGUGAGCAUAACACUUGCAGGUUAUAACAUUAUCAUGGGUGAGUACAACUUAUGGUAAUUAAUUACCCUGUUGGAUGCCAAGUGUGAGAAUAACACAAGGCAGGGCAGUUCACCUCAUGUCUGAUCAACAUGAGUGUAUAGUUGAUUAUCGUAUGUGAGUAUAAUGUGCGAUAUGAGACAUGAUUGGUGCAUGUGAGAACAACAUGCGUUGUGGAUAUAUUUAUGGAAUGUGAAUUACUGUUGAUUAAUAUUAAAGAGUAAUUUAUGUCAAGUAACUAGUUAGGAGGGUUAUGUCCUACAUAGCUCUUCUUACUGGGCGUUAGCUCACGGGUACUCUGUGUGCAGGUAAGGGUAAGGCCAAGCAGUGAGAUUGAAGAGCUCGAGGCGUGGACCGCAUGUUAGGGGGCUGGCACAGUAUUUUGCUUUUAAUGUUUUUAACUGCUAAACAUUUUGGAACUAUUAUUUUGACUUAACUAGUUCUUAUUUAAGUUUACAGUACUAAAAGUAUUUUGUUUUAAACAAUGAGAUCUCAUGCUUGGAUAUUUUUCAAUAAAGAAGUAUUUGAUUGUCUUUA